AUGGAUAUAGCAAGUCAAGUAAUUUGGUGUUGCUCCAUCUUCAUGAAAUUUCUGAUACGAAUCCUUCAGAUGGCUCCCGACUUUCUGAACUCAGAACAGCCCCUGCGUUGUGUAAUUUUAAACCACAUUCGGCGCAAAAUAAUAAGCUCUGCCCUGUUUCAAAAUG